rnacentral:lncRNA from 1 species
ACUGUGGUACGGCCAACAAGACCACUCUGUAUGCAAAAGCCCAACAUGGCUGUAACUGGAGAUGAAACUGCUGCCACAGGUGACAUGCCAACUUACCAGAUCCGAGCUCCUACUACUGCUUUGCCACAAGGUGUGGUGAUGGCUGCCUCACCAGGGAGUCUGCACAGUCCCCAGCAACUAGCAGAAGAAGCAACUCGAAAGCGGGAGCUGAGGCUGAUGAAAAACAGGGAAGCUGCUAAAGAAUGUCGACGUCGAAAGAAAGAGUAUGUGAAGUGUCUGGAGAGCCGAGUCGCAGUGCUGGAAGUUCAGAACAAGAAGCUUAUAGAGGAGCUUGAAACCUUGAAAGACAUUUGCUCUCCCAAAACAGAUUAGUAGAAAUAUUUAACUAUGAACUGAUUACAGCAUGUACAGUUGCUUUUGAAUGCAAUACAAUAUAUAGCCGGCAAGAAUUAUGGCUUUUUCCUUUGUAUCAUUCAUCUAACUUUCUAAAACUAACAUUCCUAAGAUGCUUCGUUGUAUUUAAUUUGCUCUUACCUCUAAAGUCAAUUUUUUAGAAGAGACAAACUGUAAAAAAUGUAUGUAACAAAUUCUUAAAAUGAAAUAUUUGUUAAGACUUGUUCCAGUGCGACAUAUUUGCAGUUCCCAGUCUCUGUUGUGAAUAGUGUCCUAUGCAAUACAAAUUUUGCAGGUUUUAAGAA